AAGUGAUUAACUCAACUGGUAGAGUGUCUCGCUUACAACGAGAAAGUUAGUGGUUC
rnacentral:tRNA from 1 species